CCUACGGUGGGCAGCAGUAGGGAAUAUUGCUCAAUGGGGGAAACCCUGAAGCAGCAACGCAGCGUGGAGGAUGAAGGUUUUAGGAUUGUAAACUCCUUUUGUUAGAGAAGAUUAUGACGGCAUCUAAGGAAUAAUCACCGGCUAAUUCCGUGCCAGCAGCCGCGGUAAUACGGAGGGUGCAAACGUUAUUCGGAAUCACUGGGCGUAAAGAGGGCGUAGGGGGGGUAAUAAGUCAGAUGUGAAAUCCGUUAGUUUAACUACAGAAGUGCAUUUGAAACUGUUACUCUGGAGUAUGGGAAGGGUAGGUGGAAUUCGUGGUGUAGGGGUAAAAUCCGUAGAGAUCAAGAAGAAUACUCAUUGCGAAGGCGACCUGCUGGAACAUUACUGACGCUGAUGCACGAAAGCGUGGGGAGCAAACAGGAUUAGAUACCCUUGUAGUC
rnacentral:rRNA from 1 species